rnacentral:misc_RNA from 1 species
CUUCACUUGAAUAUGGCAUGAAAAUUGAUCAAAUUGCAAAAUUCAUACCAUUGGUAUUAUGCAAACAAUAUAGAGUGUAAUAAAAGGAAAAUAAGAAAAUACAAAUUCUGACAGUGAAUUUAGUAAAAAGUCAAGAAAAAGUAAGGCAGAUGUUAGGAAACCAUAGCAAAAUAAAAGAAGCUUAAGAAGGCAACGGUAACCAUAA